CCUCAGCACCUUUAUUUAUAGUGUAGAUAAGGAAACCGGAAGAGGAGGCCUGAUUGGAGCAGGGAGAGUGGCUCUGGCCUGCAGGAGACAGUGCUUGAUGUUUCUCUGGCUUCUGUGGCCACGCCCUCUUCCCCCCAUGCCCUCCGAGGGAGGAGGCCAGUCCGUAGUGAUCUACAGCACAUCGCUCCCAGCACGAGACAUUUCUUGUAAAGGAACUGCAGAGUCACCCUGGAGUGCGUGUUCUGCGCGUGCGUCUUGGGUCUCCAUGGCUGGCAGGCGCUUACCAGAUUUGCCCCGCUCGGAUCUCCUGCCUCACCUGGACACUCCUGGCCGCGGUGUCUACACUUCUGUCCUCCCAGGCUCGCCUUGCCUUCCCAAGGGAGCAGGAGCUCCAGAAACGCCUGCCCCCAGCCACCUUCUGAAGCUGCUGGGACGGGGCAGGCAGGCGAGAAGCUCAGCCCAGGCGCAGAAAGGACUGGAAACCAGCAGCUCAGGGCUGGUGACUCACGCUCCUCCAGCCCUGCCCCACCCUCUGACGCCCCUUGCCUCAGCCUCCACACGCGCAUCCGUCACUUAGCCAGCAGCCUUUCCUUCUGCCUGGCACUGUGCUGGCAUUUGUUAAUUAUUUCAGUUUAUUCUCUGAAAAGUACCUCCCAAAGCCUACCUGCAAAUAUUAAAAUAAAAUAAAAUGAGCAGCGGUUUAGAA